GAUUGCGUUGUGGACACAGCGAGAGAGCCCCCUGGGAGAAAGGCUGCAUUCAGUGGAGACUGAACCCAGCAGGUGGACGCAGCAGUGAGGAAAUUGUCUGCAUCUUCUGGACGCGGGGCUGCACGUGGCGCUCUGUGGAUAAGGCACCUCUGCUCAUCGCUUCUUUUUUGCGAAGUGUGCCUGUCACGCAUAAAUCCAUCACAUCCACGGCCAAAGCCUCUUUUAGAACGAGCCGAAUUGCAGUUUCAGGUUUGGCGUCUUCUCUCACUCUCUCUCUUGUGCACGCAGGGACAUCCUGACGGGGCCCGGGGUGGUGCUUUCUGGAUGUGUGGGGUCUUUCAGGAGAGCAAAGCUGUGACUUGAGGACAGACAGCACAGCAGUAGCAGCAAAGCCCAGCAGCCCCUCGGAGAGUUCUUUUCAUUCCCAGAACCAACAGCGGGAGGAAAUGCCUCCUAGGAAGUGUCUUAUUUUCUCAUUUGUUAGACGCCGCUGUCAGCCUGGGAGAGCAGGCAUUCUCUGUUGUGAAUUAGCCCAGUUGGAUGAGCUCAUGCUGUGGGGGCUGCAGCCUGCCGCCCCCGCACCCACUCCAUUAGCCGCAGGGAGGUGAGCUCCGUGAGAGGCGGGCCGGGGGUGCCACAUCAGAUCACGCCCCUUCACAGAACCCAGUCUAAAUGUGGGACAGCACUUUCACGGCACGCACCAGAUAAAACUGAGUCCAGGACAGCGCUGUGAGCCCCCACCACACCUUUAGCUGGAGGCCACAGGUGGCGGGUCUCAGGUCGGAAGCCCUUCAGCAAAGUCCUGGCGUGGGGCCUUGGAGAAACCGCCAGUGUCUCAAACCUGCUCUCACUGCCUCAUGGGAGGCUCGGGUGGGUCCAUGCAGUUGACAGACAUCAUCAUUCGCCACCUGCACAUGCGGCCUGGGCAGAGGCUGGCUGCAGUCCCCUAGUCCCCACCUCUGCUCUUCCCCCAGCCUGGCGUGGGUAGUUGUGGGGUGGGGAGUCUGGGGCAGGGGGUGCCAGAGGAGUGCCUGCCCUCGAGAUGCUGGAGGAGUGCCGAUCUCCCGCUCCUGGAUGUGUGGCAGAGGCCUCCUGAGUGCGCCUGGGUCAGUCUCCCUGAUGCUUCGAGCACCAUAGCUGCCUCUCCUUCCUGGCUGUUCCCUACAUGGAAAGUCCUUCUCAUCCUGUGCAAAGAGCUCUCGGUUUGGGAAGAGACUGGACAGGACCCCCAAUGACGGUUCAGGCCGGGAAGGCACCUGAAGCCUGGGUACUGGUUUAUGUGGGACCCUGGGCACAACCUUUACCUUCUGCACCUGUGGGAAACCUGCCCAGGAAGCAUGGCCCACACCAGGUAGAGUGCACACACCGUUUUUAUGAAGCAGAGUAGCAAGAAUACAGUGGCCGUGAGGUCCUUCCAGGACCCUGCUUGUGGACAGCUCCCAGCAGCCGCAGCUCACUCCCAGCUCCAGCUGACUCCUAGCCCCUCAGUGAGCCCGGGGCUGGAUCAAAGUAUGGGGACGAUCCUGUGGGUGCACCCCAGCAUGGCAAGCCUCCAGGAGACCCUAGACCCCGGCUGGGGGUCAGGAAGGCUCUCCCCUCUGUGUUUCUGAGUCCGUAGGAACUGAGUCUCUGGCCACACGAGGACAGAAUCAGUGACAUCUGAAGAACCGGGAGCUAGAAGAUGAGGGUGAUUAAGUCACGCGCCUCAGCAAGUUCAUUAAACUGUUGACUUGCUAAUGGUCCCGGGUGCAGUUUGGAAUGAGGGUGUUGACAUAGGGACUCCGUGUAUUCGGGAAGUCCCUGGUCUGAAAACAGGGCUGCCAGGCUUCUAAUAUGCCCUCCACAGACUAGAGCUCCCGCACAUGAAUUAUUAAUGCAGUAUCAUAUUAACUAUAUUGAUAUGUUAAUAAUUAAUAACAACAUGCUAA